CGCACAUGGCGCCUUCCAGUAUCCUGGGAGGCAUGCCUGUCCGAGCGUCGUUUCAACCCUCGAGCCCCCGUGGCCCGGCGUUGGGGAUCUGCCACGGCAGGCCCCUAAAACCAGUGGCGGACCCGAAGGGCCCUCUCCUUUGCGCAGUAGCAUUAGCCUCGCAUCGGGAGCCCUCGGCGUCCUGCCUCUAAACCCCCCACAAGUCCGCCUAGCGGCACCAAGGUUGACCUCGGAUCAGGUAGGAAUACCCGCUGAACUUAA
rnacentral:misc_RNA from 1 species